AAAUUUCAUUAUAAUUUUAUCUUUAUUGCAGAUUUUACUGGAUUUGUCUAAUUUAAAAAUUCACUCGGAUGCCUUUCAAAAAAUAUUAGGAAUCGCUUAAAUGUGAAAACCAUCACAUCUAAUCCAAGCUUUACAGCUCACUAAUACAGGUACAUGUAUGACUUAGCUUAGUAAUUUUUGUAACACUAUAAUUUUGAAAACAUAAGCUUUUUUUAAAAUAAUUCAUUUCCGGGAAAAAAAUCCAUUAAUUUGAUGGGAAAUAAAAAUGAAUAUCAUUUUGAUAUUGGGGUUUAAUGUACAUGUAACAUGAACAUGCUUUAUUAAAUUCUAGUUUCAUUAUAAAUAUAAAAAAUGUAGAGAGUCUUAUAACAACAACACUUUAGGGACUGCUGCAGAAAAUUUAUUGAUCGACAUGUUUCGGUGCCUAGGGCACCGUCAUCAGGAUAAAAUCAAUACAUAAAAUCAUGUUGAAGUAAAAAAUCGGGUUGUUAAAAUUUAAACGUCACAAUGUUACAAUGGUAAGUAACGUUAUUAAUAGCAACGUACUGAAAGUGAAAGUUCAUUGGAAGUAUGUAAAUAAACUAUAAAAAGAAAUUAAAAAAUAAAAUGUUUUUGUUGUGAAAAUGUUUGUUAAAAUUAUUCUGCCAACAUGUGUUUGUCCUCUUGCAUCGUGGAAAGAAUAAUACAAUAAGUUGUCAGGCUGUGUAUAUACUGUAUAGGUUGUGUGGUCUGAAUGUUCUGUUAACUUUCUUCCCCAAAAUAGACGACAUUUUAUCAGCAAUUCCGUACCAUUUCGACUGGCUUCCCUUGGCCAGAGGUACUGCUUCCAAUCGCGUCAGGAAUGCUGUAAAAUGUUUUGGUCGCCGAAAGUAAAGGACAAAGUAUAAAUAUCACUAGUCUAAGUUGAAUUUUAACUAUGUGUUCGUUCAUCAAACUAUCGGGUAUGGCCAGUAAUCUGUAAAAGUUGUUGUAUCUCGAGGGUUGUAUGUUUGAUUAACAUAUUUUCGGGAGCAUCAGAUUGAAUUUGAAGAAUACGAAAUCGGGUGCAUUUAAUUUCAAAUGAAUUCUGUUAGAGAGAAAUAAUUUCCUAUCACUGUUCUUUUCCUCCUUAAGCAUGUUAAGGCUCGUUUUGGGUUAAGAUGGUCCGUAAUUAUCGAUUUCUUUUCUUGUGGUUGAUGGCAGCAUUCUCGGAAGGUUCCUGUGGGUGCCUCAAUAAAAUAUAACUUUGUUUACUCUGUGCGAAUGGCUAGUAUGAUUAGCGCUGGUUGCAACGGCGGUUCCUUAAAAGGAAUGCAGGGGUUCACGAUAAAAAAUAAAAUCAAUUACAAACGAAAGUGAACCAACGCCUGGUGAGUCUGUAGUAAGGUAGAGUCCAUAAAGUGGAUACCCGAGGGUAUGCAGGGUCGUUAUGAUAAAAACAUAAAAUGUAGAGAGUCUUAUAACAACAACACUUUAGGGACUGCUGCAGAAAAUUUAUUGAUCGACAUGUUUCGGUGCCUAGGGCACCGUCAUCAGGAUAAAAUCAAUACAUAAAAUCAUGUUGAAGUAAAAAAUCGGGUUGUUAAAAUUUAAAUGAACUCUCAACUUUCACUUUCAGUACGUUGCUAUUAAUAACGUUACUUACCAUUGUAACAUUGUGACGUUUAAAUUUUAACAACCCGAUUUUUUACUUCAACAUGAUUUUAUGUAUUGAUUUUAUCCUGAUGACGGUGCCCUAGGCACCGAAACAUGUCGAUCAAUAAAUUUUCUGCAGCAGUCCCUAAAGUGUUGUUGUUAUAAGACUCUCUACAUUUUAUGUUUUUAUCAUAACGACCCUGCAUACCCUCGGGUAUCCACUUUAUGGACUCUACCUUACUACAGACUCACCAGGCGUUGGUUCACUUUCGUUUGUAAUUGAUUUUUAUUUUUUUAUCGUGAACCCCUGCAUUCCUUUUAAGGAACCGCCGUUGCAACCAGCGCUAAUCAUACUAGCCAUUCGCACAGAGUAAACAAAGUUAUAUUUUAUUGAGGCACCCACAGGAACCUUCCGAGAAUGCUGCCAUCAACCACAAGAAAAAGAAAUCGAUAAUUACGGACCAUCUUAACCCAAAACGAGCCUUAACAUGCUUAAGGAGGAAAAGAACAGUGAUAGGAAAUUAUUUCUCUCUAACAGAAUUCAUUUGAAAUUAAAUGCACCCGAUUUCGUAUUCUUCAAAUUCAAUCUGAUGCUCCCGAAAAUAUGUUAAUCAAACAUACAACCCUCGAGAUACAACAACUUUUACAGAUUACUGGCCAUACCCGAUAGUUUGAUGAACGAACACAUAGUUAAAAUUCAACUUAGACUAGUGAUAUUUAUACUUUGUCCUUUACUUUCGGCGACCAAAACAUUUUACAGCAUUCCUGACGCGAUUGGAAGCAGUACCUCUGGCCAAGGGAAGCCAGUCGAAAUGGUACGGAAUUGCUGAUAAAAUGUCGUCUAUUUUGGGGAAGAAAGUUAACAGAACAUUCAGACCACACAACCUAUACAGUAUAUACACAGCCUGACAACUUAUUGUAUUAUUCUUUCCACGAUGCAAGAGGACAAACACAUGUUGGCAGAAUAAUUUUAACAAACAUUUUCACAACAAAAACAUUUUAUUUUUUAAUUUCUUUUUAUAGUUUAUUUACAUACUUCCAAUGAACUUUCACUUUCAGUACGUUGCUAUUAAUAACGUUACUUACCAUUGUAACAUUGUGACGUUUAAAUUUUAACAACCCGAUUUUUUACUUCAACAUGAUUUUAUGUAUUGAUUUUAUCCUGAUGACGGUGCCCUAGGCACCGAAACAUGUCGAUCAAUAAAUUUUCUGCAGCAGUCCCUAAAGUGUUGUUGUUAUAAGACUCUCUACAUUUUAUGUUUUUAUCAUAACGACCCUGCAUACCCUCGGGUAUCCACUUUAUGGACUCUACCUUACUACAGACUCACCAGGCGUUGGUUCACUUUCGUUUGUAAAAAAUAUAAAAAAUGUAUGACUGAAAUUUAUACUAAGAAAUAUUAACAACUAUAUCAUCAAAUUUAUUAAACAAUACCCAUCUCUGGAUAGCUGUAAAGAAUUUCGCAAAUAUAUUAACAUCACACCUGGGAGAAAUUAUAUCUUACAUUACAACAAGUCAAGGUCAACAUAGUCAAUAGAUGUUAUAAGUGCUCAAUAGAUUUAACAUGGUUUGCAAUUAAAUUUCUGUGGAUUAGACCUCUCAGGAUGCAUGAUUAAUAAUGGUGUUAAAAAGUUAUCUCAUAUCAUCACAUAUUUACAAUAUUGGAAUCUAAUUAUUAUCAUUAAAUGAAAUUGUAAAAAUUUCCUGCAAACAGCUUUGUUGAAGCCAUCACUCAGUUUUUUAAGGUGGUACCUAACACUACAGGGAGAUAACUCUGUAAAAUCAGCAGAAUGUUUUAAUGACAUUGUGUUCAUAAGGGAAUAUCAAGCUUCUCAAUGAUCAAAAUAAGUGUUUGUCAAACUGCUCUAUAACCAUUGUAAUUUUUCUGAUUAAACGCUUGGUUCAAAUUUUUUGAAAUUUUUAUAUUUUUGUCAAAGGGUCAAAGUAAAUAAUUUGUCAAAAUAUUAAGAAAAUUAAAUUUAGUUCAAGUGUUAGGUACCACCUUAAGAUGAAGAACAGCAAUAAAAGCACUGUUCCUUUUCUUUUUGUGUAUUGUUUGCUUAAAAUGCAUAUACUGAUUUUGUGACAUGAAUUGCCCCACCCCUCUAAAAAAACAAACAAAAAUUAAGGAAAACAACCUCACAAACAGAUUGCUGUAGAAAUCACAAAAUUUGUUCUCCACCAAAAUAAAAUUCAUAAAAUUCUUUAAAGAAUUCAAACUUUGUCUUUAUCAUGCUUUCAUUAACUUCUUGGAAUUUAAAAUCAUCAUAUUUUCAGAAAUUCAUUCUUAGAAAUUUUAAGUGGUCACCACUUGUUUUAUUGAAUUGUAACUUUCAUUUUACAAGAAAGUGACAUAACUAAUGUGUCUAAUAGUCAUUUUCUUGGUAUUAUUUAUAAAAAAAAAUUCAUUUGGAGUAAUUUUAACACUUACAAUUCCCAAGAUAUGUGGGAUCAAUUUGCAAUUGGGUAAAAUACAAACUUCAACUUUUUAUUUAGUGCAAUUGUGGUAUCACAUCGUCGCCAGCGUCUUCCGAAGACAUUUGGUUUCUGCACAAUAACUUUAGUAUGAGUAAAUAGAAAUCAAUGAAAUUUAAACACAAGAUUUAUAACCACAAAAGAAAGGUUGGAUUGAUUUUGAGGGUUAUGGUCCCUGAACAGGUAUAGAAAUCAGGGGCCAAAAAGCAUUGUGUAUUGCACAAAAGCAAAACAUUUAAUAUAAAUUCAAAUCAUCAUGAUCAUAUGACCAAUUCUAAUUAGUUCUUUGACUUCAGUUGAGUUAUUCUGUGUCUGAAACCUAAUAUAUGUCAAAUAUUUAAUUACAAUCCAAAUUCAGACCUGUAUUAAGUGCGAAUAUUGUGUCCUUUUUUACCCCAACUGUUAAGGGUUGAACUUCUGUGGUCGUAUCCAGCUGUGCUCGGCGAAGCGAUUUAUUGAAUUUGAAGAAGAAAAAAAAUUGUGUUAUUAUCUGUCUAGUUUUAAGUUUAAUAUUUCAAUUUCGUAAUGGAUUUCUAAGAAUAAUUAAAACAAUUAGUAUUUCAAUAUUUCUAUUAAUAAUUAUCAUUAAUUUCAAUGUGUACACUCCUCAGUUGUAACCUUUUCACUUUCUAAUCCUUUACAAAUCCAUUGUAGGACUGGAUGUCAUCAACAACUUAUGAAUACCCACAUCAAUGCUGCUAGCUAAUCAAGUCGUAGCAGGUAAUUGAUUAAUUAAUUGGCGCUAUAGGCAUUAAGACCAAUUUGGGAAUCGAAUAAUCUGACAGAGAAAAAUACCUUAAGACGGAAAAGCUUAUCAGAACUAUCUUUAUCGUCUAACAAUUCAUCAGGCUUUGUCCGAGUGAAAGGAAUGUUUAGAAAGUAUUUAUGAUACAGUUUUUUUGUUCGUUAACAGAAUUUUACCGUACUUGACCAAAUUACAUUUACCAAAGCAGCUCAAAUUUCAUUAAGCACUGCUAAAGAGAUCUGAAUGCAUUUUAUAGAAAAUCAAACAUGAAUGAACUAUAUUUUUUAUUGCUACUCCGUACAACAUAAUCAAUUUUUCCUCCAUAAAAUAGCGAUUAUUUGAUGAAAAACAUGAAUUUGACGCACAAUAUGAAAGUUAAUUAGAUUUUUUACAAUAAUUGUUAUAUAAUUAUACUAAACGUUUUCUUUUAUAGGACAUUUGGGAGUACUAUUUUUUUUCUGAUGACAUAUACAACUUUUCACAAAGAGGAAGGUCAUAAAUUAGGUCAUAAGAAGAUAGUUAUUUUCUAUGAAACAUUUCAAGUACUAAGUUUUAUGGAAGAAGGAGCAGCUAACAGAUGAU
rnacentral:lncRNA from 1 species